ACGAACGCUGGCGGCGUGCUUAACACAUGCAAGUCGAACGGAAAGGCCCUGCUUUUGUGGGGUGCUCGAGUGGCGAACGGGUGAGUAACACGUGAGUAACCUGCCCUUGACUUUGGGAUAACUUCAGGAAACUGGGGCUAAUACCGGAUAGGAGCUCCUGCUGCAUGGUGGGGGUUGGAAAGUUUCGGCGGUUGGGGAUGGACUCGCGGCUUAUCAGCUUGUUGGUGGGGUAGUGGCUUACCAAGGCUUUGACGGGUAGCCGGCCUGAGAGGGUGACCGGCCACAUUGGGACUGAGAUACGGCCCAGACUCCUACGGGAGGCAGCAGUGGGGAAUAUUGCACAAUGGGCGGAAGCCUAAUGCAGCAACGCCGCGUGCGGGAUGACGGCCUUCGGGUUGUAAACCGCUUUCGCCUGUGACGAAGCGUGAGUGACGGUAAUGGGUAAAGAAGCACCGGCUAACUACGUG
rnacentral:rRNA from 1 species